UACGUAGGGGGCUAGCGUUGUCCGGAAUCAUUGGGCGUAAAGCGCGCGUAGGCGGCCCGGUAAGUCCGUUGUGAAAGUCAAAGGCUCAACCUUUGAAAGCCGAUGGAUACUGCCGGGCUGGAGUCCGGAAGAGGCGAGUGGAAUUCCUGGUGUAGCGGUGAAAUGCGCAGAUAUCAGGAGGAACACCAGCGGCGAAGGCGGCGCUCUGGGCCGGAACUGACGCUGAGGAGCGAAAGCGUGGGUAGCAAACAGG
rnacentral:rRNA from 1 species